rnacentral:rRNA from 1 species
AAAAACAUGUCUAUAUGAGUAUAUAAUAUAAAGUCUAGCCUGCCCACUGAGUAUUUAAAGGGCUGCGGUAAUUUGACCGUGCAAAGGUAGCAUAAUCAGUAGUCUUUUAAUUGAAGGCUUGAAUGAACGGUUGGAUGAGAGAGAAGCUGUCUCUUUUAUAAAUUAAAAUUUGACUUUUAAGUGAAAAGGCUUAAAUUGCGUAAAGGGACGAUAAGACCCUAUAAAACUUUAUAAGAGAUUUAUUUUAUUUUUAAAUUCUUCUUUAAAAAUUGUGAAGUAAUUCUUUUAUUUUGUUGGGGCGACAUUGAUAUAAGCUGUAACUGUUUAAAUAAAAACUAUAAUUAUCAUUAUUGUUUGAUCCUUCUUUGUGGAUAAAAAGACUAAGUUACUUUAGGGAUAACAGCGUAAUUUUUUUUGAGAGUUCUUAUCGAAGAAAAUAGUUGCGACCUCGAUGUUGAAUUAAAAUUUCAGGCAAGUGUAGCCGCUUGCUAUGUCGGUCCCUUCGACCUUUAAAAUUUUACGUGAUCU